GUGCUCACUUCGGCAGCACAUAUACUAAAACUGGAACGAUACAGAGAAGAUUAGCAUGGUCCCUGUGCAAGGAUGGCACGCAAAUUCAUGAAGCAUUCCAUAUGUUU
rnacentral:snRNA from 1 species